ensembl:lncRNA
CUACAUGAAAAAGACAGUUGGAGUACACUGUGUAUGCAUUAGACAUUCUGCAUGUUCAGAAUAUUUGAGACAAACACAGGAAAGUGGUGAGCCAGAAAAAGUAUAAGAGAGAAAGUAUCCCUAUCAAAUCCAGACAAGUCUGAGGAAAGUAUGCAUUCCUCUUUCUAUGAAAUCAUAAAGCCUGACUGUAGGAAAAUCUUCUAACUGAGCAAGCAAUGCUUUCUGAUCCUGUCCUAAACUGAGUCUCUGGUUUCUGAACAGUUCCAUCUACUUAUUCUUCAGACAAAAUGGAUAACUCCUGAGUUGGACACCAGAAGCAUAGAUUUGUUCUUAUAAGCUGCCACAUCUGGGAAUGGUAUGCACUGUGGCACAGAGUGAAAAGAAGGGACAUGCCCAGUUGAGAACAAGAGGCUUGUAAUAUCACAUAAUUAUACAGAAUCACUGAAUUGUGGGAUUGGAAGGGACCUCUGGAGAUCAUCUAGUCCAAUCCCUAUGCUAAAGCAGAUUCUCUACAACUUUCAACAAGCAUCAGCGAAUGCCAGUUGCUGCCAUUUUUUCUGCAUGGAGGAAUUCAGUGACACAGUGGAGGAAUUCAGUGACAUUUGCUUCAUUUGCACUUCUAUGUCAGACACCACUUUGUCAGACUGCCCCUCUGCUGCCAUCUGUUGCAUAGCAAAAAAAUGUAACAGGAUCAGGAUAUUGGUGGCAAGGUUCAACCUCAACUGUCACACCACGGUCUGCCUCUGAUGUUGUGAAUCAACAUCAUAAAAUAAGAGGCAUUACUUUCAGAGCAGCCCUCAUACUAUUUAAUCAGAAAUUUGCAGGAAAACUAAAGAAUUUCCAGUCAGGCAAAAAAAUGAUUUAGGCUAAUGUGAAUCAGGCAGUCUGGAGAGCUAUUAUCCCAUUUUGUAGAUGAUAAGGUAGAGAUCAGAAAUACUGCUAUGGUUUAAUAAUCAAAACUAAACUUCAGCAAGAAUUUUUUUCUCUUGUAAUAACUGAUACAAAGUUUUGAAAAAAAAAAAAAAAAAGGAAGUACAUAUUUCUGCUUUUAAAUACAUUGAAAUCCACGAGAAGGAAAUAAAAAAUACCAGUCAUUCUAAAGACAUUAUGAUGCCGAAUAAGUGACAUUUAUUAAUACCUAUUCCUCAAUUUUAUCUUUUAUGAACACUUCCUAAAUUAUUUAAAAAAUGCCAGUGAUUGCUCUUGAAUUCAAAACUUUCAUUUGCCAGAGUCAUACAUUAUUUAACCAUUCUGAAAUACCACAGUGACAUACAUUUCCAGUACAUUAUCUUAUCAAGGGGUGCAUGUCACAUAGAAGACAAAACUCUUGCUGCAUUUUGGCUUUGUUUUAAGGCGAGCUCAUGAAUCUCUCCCUGAGAAAAGCCAUCCAUUUGGUAAAGCCAUAUGAGAACAACCCCAUACUGGCAGAUCUCAGCAGGGACUCCAAAGAAGAUGCAAGUGGCCUCAGCCAGAGCAGAAGGCAACUGCGCAGCAGUCCAGUGAACUGUCUCUCUGGGGUUUCCCUACAAGGGCCAGGACAUCGCAUGGCUCUUUACUCAGGCCCACAACUAAAGAACUGCAAGUUUGCCUUGGAGUUUGUGUCACCUGCUAUGUAGGUACUGUACUGAGCUUUGCAAAUCCAUUCAGAUAGAUCCUGUCUACCACAUUCAGGACCUUUGUUUUGAAAGUAUUGGCAUUUCUGUGUAGCACUAAACUUUCUUUUUCUUUAAGGAUUUUCUCCUUACAUCUCAGACACCCUUUACUGAAGGGAUGUAUGUUGCUCUUUAUUGUAUGGUUCAUCUGGUCGUGUGAGAGUAACAUAGACCUCUCUCUCCAUAUGCUCAUCAUUUGUUAAUACUACAUGAACUGCUAGGCUGAAGAAGCAUCACCGAAGAACUGUGAAAUUACUCCAAAUAUCUGAUCACCAGGUUAUUAAGCCAACCAAACUGUUUUAUGCAGUAAAAAUAAAUAAAUAAAUUUAAAAACCAUUGUUAUUUUUUAAAGAAUGUGGGUAGCCAUUCACAAAAAUAUAUACUUCCAUCAUCUGUAAAUUCAUGCCACAUAAGUUUCUUCUGUGGUGGUGAAGGGUGAUGCAGAAAGUCAUACUUCGGUGAACAGAAUAGCUAACCAAGUCUGGGUUCCUCUGAGUCUGUGAGUCUGUAACAGAACUGAUCUAUCUGUACACAAUUGUAAAAAGGCAUAAGCUGAGUGAAGGUUUCCUACAGCUGGUAUGUUCACAAUAUUUAUCUCUUGCACAGGGUCUCCAGGGUCCAACAAGAAUUGAGUUUUUCCUUCAGUGAACUCACUAGGAAGAGUCCUAUUCUGCAUAUGGCUAUUUUAAUUAAACAUGUAGGAAAUUAAUACCUCUGAGAUCUUUUCCAUCCUGCCAGCCACAUCUGAAAUUGUCUAGGGCAUUCCAAAGCUAUCAGAGGGACAACUUAGAAAGAAAGAAAGGCAAAAACAUGAUAACUCAAGCUUCUGUGUGGAAGAAAACAAACAUAAUAAUCAUGGCCCAGAAUGGAUAGAUGGUUUCCUAUCCCAGCGGGUACAGGAUAAUGUUCAAGGAAUACAUUUGUCAUGCAAAAUUGUCCUUUUCAGACAUACUCAUAGGCAGCAGAGAACCAUCUGGGAUCCAAGUCUCCACCAGCAGCAGUGAUACAACAUUGCAGGAUACUUAGUUCUUUUGCCAAUGCAGCCAGCACGUGCUGCCAGUUACAUUUGGCAGCUGUCACUGAGUUCAUGCUAUACAAAGAAUAACAGACAACUUAGCUAGAGUAAUUGCUGAUGAGGUAUAAUGGCUUUUGCACUUAGGUGACCUGAGCAAAACAGGUCUACACUUUAGUUUCUUGUUGGCUUACGCAACAGGGGGACAACCUAUGGAACUUGGAUGACAUGCAACUCAUGAGCAACUCAAGUGCAGUUCUCACCCUUGAUGAUUUUACACAUCCAGCAACAGCACCAAGACUACUAGGAACAUGCCACACGGAACUGUGGCAGUACUUGCAUGAAUUAGAGCUCACCAAUUUAAUCCAAAAGUCCUCUUCAUGACUGAAUUGUGCUUUGUGGUGACUCAUUUCUGACCAUCCUGAAGAUGGCUAGCACUUACAGCAACCUGCCUGCUUUCUCCCAUUCACUGUAGACAAGGUCAGAUUGACUAGCUCAAAUAGUAUAAUUGCCUGUUCAUGUGAGCUCAGCCUGCAGCAAUAUGGGGGUGUUCACAUGCUCUUUGGUAAAAGUCGGGAGUUGUUCCACAGAAAAGCAGUUACAAGGGCUGACAGAUAGUAACAUGCAGCACUGAUGGACCCAAAAGAGGAUGCUUUGCCUAAUAGAAGCAUAAGGCCAGAUGAAAACACCUGGGUCACCAAGAUUAUCCCCUGAGACUUCAGGCAGUGCAUUGUACUAUUUCUUGCAUAAAUGCAUUGAGCUCCACCUACUCCCAACAGCAGGCCAUUCCUGAAACUGUGUGCUUCAUGGUAACAUGUGUAAGUGCUGAAAAAACAGAUACUGAAAAUAUUCAUUUAAGAGUCUGUAUGAUGAUGAUGAAGAGGUCAAGAUUGGUUAUUGUGAUUUUUUUUGCUGUCAUUCAGAUUGUUUCUAAUUUACGACAGAAGUGAUCAAAUUGGAAACCAUCCAUAAAUUUAAACGAAUUACUCUCACUAGGAUAUAAAAAUUUAGCACCCGAUUGCUAUAAACCCUCGAAGACCAGAGCUAAACAUAAGACCACAAAAAAAACAAUCUGUAAAUUUGUAAUCAUAUAUCUUUAAAGAGACAUAUAUCAUUAGAGAGAAAAAAUAAAGACGUUGCUCACUAAAACAGGCAAAUUAGUCAGACAGCAUUAAUUCCAGUACUGCUGCUAAUGCAGUUUAAUGGCCAUAUUUCUGGUUACAGGGCACAGCGUUUUUUCCUUUGUUAGAAGCCAGUUUGGUAUUAUUGUAUUUGAUGCUGACUGCCUGUUAAGCCAUAAGCUUAAAAGGAAAAGAAGACUGGGGAAAAGAAGGCCAAGAGGGGCUUCUGAGUCUCGUGUCCUACACCAGACAGAAGAACCAUCAUUUCCACCUAGCAUUUCUUACAAAUUAAGAAAUGAUAGUUCAUCUGCAAAAUGAAUUAGAACUCAGUCUAGACCCAAGGGCCCAAAUACGUGUUGUUUUUUUUUUUUUUUUUUAAAAAAAGGAAUAACCAUAUUUAUUAGCAGACCUGUCUACAGCCCAAUAUUGUAAGAUAUCAUCUAUUACUUUUAUCUAUGUAUUCAUUUGCUCUGUAUAUAAAUCAUGUAGUGUCUUAAAAUAGAUCUUCGUAGUUCAUUACUUUCUAGAGGCUCUAAAAAUAAAUAAAUAAUUUUAAAAAGAUAACUGUGAAAAUAAUAUUAUAUUUGCUUCUGGGUUUCCCUAGUAGAAUUAUAAAACAUUACAAACAUCCAUAGAGCAACAAUUUCUUCUGAGUCCUUUGCAAUCAAUGGGAUGUUUGGUCACUAUUUUCAGUGACAGCAAGCCAGGACAUUUUCUUAUACCAAGUUUCAUUCCUGGAAUUAGCUUAUGGAAUGGGGAGGUACAUUUCUACCUUUAUCUAAGUGGGCUAUUUCAAUCUGGUAGAAAUGUUGUGAC